GGUACAAACUUGAAGAAGAAUAGUUGGGUAUGGUCAGCUGAUCCUACUAUUCUACUCUACUUCAUGUUUAUGUUC
rnacentral:pre_miRNA from 1 species